rnacentral:rRNA from 1 species
AGCUCAGAUUUGAAAUCGUGUUUCGGCACGAGUUGUAGAGUGUAGGCGGGAGUCUCUGUGGAGCGCGGUGUCCAAGUCCCUUGGAACAGGGUGCCUGAGAGGGUGAGAGCCCCGUAGGGUGCUGCGCGAAGCUUUUGAGGCCCUGCUGACGAGUCGAGUUGUUUGGGAAUGCAGCUCCAAGCGGGUGGUAAAUUCCAUCUAAGGCUAAAUAUUGGCGAGAGACCGAUAGCGAACAAGUACUGUGAAGGAAAGAUGAAAAGCACUUUGAAAAGAGAGUGAAACAGCACGUGAAAUUGUUGAAAGGGAAGGGUAUUGGGCUCGACAUGGGGGGUGCGCACCGCUGUCUCUUGUAGGCGGCGCUCUGGGCGCCCUCUGGGCCAGCAUCGGUUCCUGCUGCGGGAGAAGGGGCUCCGGAAAGUGGCUCUUCGGAGUGUUAUAGCCGGGGCCAGAUGCCGCGUGUGGGGACCGAGGACUGCGGCUUCUGUCUCGGAUGCUGGCAUAACGGCGCAAUACCGCCCGUCUUG